rnacentral:tRNA from 1 species
GCCAAUUUGGCUCAGUGGAUAGAGCGUCAGACUGCAGACUGAAGAGUCCUGGGUUCAAUUCCAGUGAAGGGCA